rnacentral:rRNA from 1 species
AACGAACGCUGGCGGCAGGCUUAACACAUGCAAGUCGAACGCCCCGCAAGGGGAGUGGCAGACGGGUGAGUAACGCGUGGGAAUCUACCUAGUUCUACGGAACAACACAGGGAAACUUGUGCUAAUACCGUAUACGCCCUACGGGGGAAAGAUUUAUCGGAAUUAGAUGAGCCCGCGUUGGAUUAGCUAGUUGGUGGGGUAAUGGCCUACCGAGGCGACGAUCCAUAGCUGGUCUGAGAGGAUGAUCAGCCACACUGGGACUGAGACACGGCCCAGACUCCUACGGGAGGCAGCAGUGGGGAAUAUUGGACAAUGGGCGAAAGCCUGAUCCAGCCAUGCCGCGUGAGUGAUGAAGGCCUUAGGGUUGUAAAGCUCUUUCAGUGGGGAAGAUAAUGACGGUACCCACAGAAGAAGCCCCGGCUAACUUCGUGCCAGCCGCCGCGGUAAAAC